rnacentral:tRNA from 1 species
AGUAUCUUGUACCUGAACUGGUGGCUCACUUUUUCUAAGGCAGUUCGAUCUAUGCUAUGAUUUAUCAUUCAUG